GCGAAUUCGCCCUUCGGGGUGCAGCAGGCGCGAAAACUUUACAAUGCGGGAAACCGUGAUAAGGGGACACCGAGUGCCAGCAUCAUAUGCUGGCUGUCCAGGUGUGUAAACUACACCUGUUAGCAAGGGCCGGGCAAGACCGGUGCCAGCCGCCGCGGUAACACCGGCGGCCCGAGUGGUGAUCGUGAUUAUUGGGUCUAAAGGGUCCGUAGCCGGUUUGGUCAGUCCUCCGGGAAAUCUGACGGCUCAACCGUUAGGCUUUCGGGGGAUACUGCCAGGCUUGGAACCGGGAGAGGUAAGAGGUACUACAGGGGUAGGAGUGAAAUCUUGUAAUCCCUGUGGGACCACCUGUGGCGAAGGCGUCUUACCAGAACGGGUUCGACGGUGAGGGACGAAAGCGGGGGGCACGAACCGGAUUAGAUACCCGGGUAGUCCCAGCCGUAAACGAUGCUCGCUAGGUGUCAGGCAUGGCGCGACCGUGUCUGGUGCCGCAGGGAAGCCGUGAAGCGAGCCACCUGGGAAGUACGGCCGCAAGGCUGAAACUUAAAGGAAUUGGCGGGGGAGCAC
rnacentral:rRNA from 1 species